rnacentral:rRNA from 1 species
AGAGUUUGAUCCUGGCUCAGGAUAAACGCUGGCGGCGUGCAUGAGACAUGCAAGUCGAACGGACUUUCUCGGGCUUGCUCGGGAAAGUUAGUGGCGGACGGCUGAGUAACGCGUAGGUGACCUGUCCCGAAGUGGGGAAUAACUGCCCGAAAGGGUGGCUAAUACCGCAUGCGAUCGCUCAUUCAGUUGGGCGAUCAAAGCAGUAAUGCGCUUUGGGAGGGGCCUGCGUCCGAUUAGCUCGUUGGUGGGGUAAUGGCUCACCAAGGCGACGAUCGGUAGGUGGUCUGAGAGGACGAUCACCCAGACUGGGACUGAGACACGGCCCAGACUCCUACGGGAGGCAGCAGUCGGGAAUUUUGCUCAAUGGACGAAAGUCUGAAGCAGCAACGCCGCGUGAGGGAUGAAGGCCUUCGGGUUGUAAACCUCUUUUGUCAGGGACGAUUAUGACGGUACCUGGCGAAUAAGCCACGGCUAACUACGUGCCAGCAGCCGCGGUAAUACGUAGGUGGCAAGCGUUGUCCGGAUUUACUGGGCGUAAAGAGCGCGCAGGCGGUCGAAUAAGUCGAAUGUGAAAGCCCCCGGCUUAACUGGGGAGGGUCAUUCGAUACUGCUCGACUUGAAGGCCAGGAGAGGGUAGUGGAAUUCCCGGUGUAGUGGUGAAAUGCGUAGAUUCGGGAGGAACACCAGUGGCGAAGGCGACUAACUG